GCCUGGGUGGCUCAGUCGGUUAAGCGUCCGACUUCGGCUCAGGUCGUGAUAUCGCGGUCCGUGAGUUCAAGCCUCGCGUCAGGCU
rfam:Felis catus isolate Cinnamon breed Abyssinian chromosome B1, whole genome shotgun sequence.